GCCUCUAUGGGGACAUCCCAUAAAAUUGGAACAAUACACAAAAGAUUAACAUGACUGUUAUGAAAGACUGACAUGCACAGAUCAAGAAAUGGUCCAAAUAUAU